UACAGAGGGUGCGAGCGUUGUCCGGAAUCACUGGGCGUAAAGGGCGCGUAGGCGGCUCAUGAAGGCUGUGGUGAAAGUCCGGGGCUCAACCUCGGAUCGGCCGUGGCGACUCGUGGGCUGGAGCACUGUAGAGGCGGGUGGAAUUCCGGGUGUAGCGGUGGAAUGCGUGGAGAUCCGGAAGAACACCAGUGGCGAAGGCGGCCCGCUGGGCAGUGGCUGACGCUGAGGCGCGACAGCGUGGGGAGCAAACAGG
rnacentral:rRNA from 1 species